rnacentral:lncRNA from 1 species
GUCUCGUGUGUAGUAGGYGCAAGGUGACAUUUGCCUUCUUCUCAACACGGCUGCCCUUGACUCCCCUGGAGCCCCACACCUAGGUGAAGCCCUGAAGCCUGGAGGGUUGAGGAACAUGAUUCCCGUUGAGUUGUCAUCAGGUGGAUGCUUAAUUUUUCAGCCUGCUUUGAGAGCUACAGUGUUAUAGACCACAUUCCCCAAAUAAGGGUUAUAUAUAUAAGGUGCUGCUGCUGCUGAUCUCCUGUAAGUCUGGACCCGAGGUAGAUGCUGGUGUGGCUGCACGGGUCUCUCUGCUGAGCGGAGCUGGAGAUGUGAUGCCCAGCUCUAAACAUGGGGUGGAGAGAGGAGCGGGGCAGGCRUUGCGUAUGGAGAAGGAUGUAGGGCCCCAGCAUGGCAUUUGCCUCCCUGGCUGCGAGUUUCAUACACUCAUGCAGCACCGGGGAGCCCCGAGGACGUGAGGCAGCCGUGCAAAAAGCACCCACGGUGCCACGGCUCCUGCUACGCGUGAGCCGGACUGAGCACGCCUGUUUGCCCUUGCUGACGGAGAGYGAAACCCUGCACGCGCGUGGGCGGAGGAGGAAUGUCCAGCACGUCUGCCUGUGGGACGGCGAGCGCGCCAGGAGCUCUGUGGCUCUGGAAAAAACCACAGGUGUUUGUAGCCUGGACCGAGCCUCACCUGGACCAAAUAUCAGCUGCAGGUUAAAUCUGAGCAAAAAGCCAGGAGAAGGCCUGAAAAGAGAGCUGGGAAAACAGACAGUGUCCACCAAAGACAGAGACCAAGAAUGUUCCAGCCAAACCACCAAAGUGCCGGCCAAGGUGCCGGGAGGAGGCCGGGCCGGAGGUGGGGUGAGAUGCCCCUGCUCUCUCUUGGGUGGCAGGACAAAUGCUGGACCGUGCAUCCUGGCCUCUGAGGAAACAGGGAAACAACCCUUUGGUAGGAGGAGAGUGAAAUCCCUUGAAAUCUGCUGUGUUUUCCGCAUUUCCUUCAAGGUCUUGUCCCCGUGCCGUGCUCUGCAACCCAGCCCACGUGCUCCUGGGGGCAACGGAUGAAGUAUUUAUUGGUGUCCAACCCACUCAGCCCGACUACGUACCGUUUCUUGACUUGGAUACGAGAGGCACCCAGAAUAAAUCAUCUCAGCUCCGUGUCA